rnacentral:rRNA from 1 species
UAGGGAAUCUUCGGCAAUGGACGAAAGUCUGACCGAGCAACGCCGCGUGAGUGAAGAAGGUUUUCGGAUCGUAAAACUCUGUUGUUAGAGAAGAACAAGGACGUUAGUAACUGAACGUCCCCUGACGGUAUCUAACCAGAAAGCCACGGCUAACUACGUGCCAGCAGCCGCGGUAAUACGUAGGUGGCAAGCGUUGUCCGGAUUUAUUGGGCGUAAAGCGAGCGCAGGCGGUUUCUUAAGUCUGAUGUGAAAGCCCCCGGCUCAACCGGGGAGGGUCAGUGGAAACUGGGAGACUGGAGUGCAGAAGAGGAGAGUGGAAUUCCAUGUGUAGCGGUGAAAUGCGUAGAUAUAUGGAGGAACACCAGUGGCGAAGGCGGCUCUCUGGUCUGUAACUGACGCUGAGGCUCGAAAGCGUGGGGAGCAAACAGG